rnacentral:ncRNA from 1 species
CUAUGCUUCCGCCAGCGGUCCCCUCUUUGGGGCCCAAUGCUCCAGUGAGAGUCGGGAGGCCUUUCUCCCGAAAACCACUGGCGCCCGGAUGCUGUGAGGCUUUGCCGAGCUGCGCCCGGGGCCCCGAUGAGCCUUCCGGUUUAUCGGAGGGGUGGCCCACCACCUCGAUCCCGUCCCUCGAGGAACGACUCGAUGA